AGUGAACGCUGGCGGUAGGCCUAACACAUGCAAGUCGAACGGCAGCACAGUAAGAGCUUGCUCUUACGGGUGGCGAGUGGCGGACGGGUGAGGAAUACAUCGAAAUCUACUUUUUCGUGGGGGAUAACGUAGGGAAACUUACGCUAAUACCGCAUACGACCUACGGGUGAAAGCAGGGGAUCUUCGGACCUUGCGCGAUUGAAUGAGCCGAUGUCGGAUUAGCUAGUUGGCGGGGUAAAGGCCCACCAAGGCGACGAUCCGUAGCUGGACUGAGAGGAUGAUCAGCCACACUGGAACUGAGACACGGUCCAGACUCCUACGGGAGGCAGCAGUGGGGAAUAUUGGACAAUGGGCGCAAGCCUGAUCCAGCCAUACCGCGUGGGUGAAGAAGGCCUUCGGGUUGUAAAGCCCUUUUGUUGGGAAAGAAAGGCAGCAGGUUAAUACCCCGCUGUUCUGACGGUACCCAAAGAAUAAGCACCGGCUAACUUCGUG
rnacentral:rRNA from 1 species